rnacentral:lncRNA from 1 species
AUAAAAGGUUGAAGGGAGGGCAGGGGUAUGGGGAAAAAAUAAGAACCAAGAUGGAUUUUGUGAAGAUGAGAAUUUCCGAUGAUGAAUGUCAUUAUAUUGUAUACCUUAAAUGUUCCGAUAAAAUUAAUAAAAAAGCAAAAGAAAAGGGAACCUAAAAGAUAUAUUAAAAUUAGUUUUGUGUAUAGAUAUUAACCCCUUUGCAUGUUAAGCCAAAAAACUGUUUUUUAAAAGUGCCAUAUACAGAAACUACUCUUUCAGUUCCAUGAAUAUGUACUACUGUAUUUGAUGUCAUGCACUAUUAUAGGUGCUGAGGACAAUUCAAAGGUGAAAAAGACAACUUAGUUCCUGUCUUCCAAGAGCUCACUGUCUAGCAGUGGAAGAAAUAUGUAUAUAGAAUCCUACUUUGAAGCUUUGUUUCAAUAUACAUUACCACUUCUCUUGGACCUUUUAAGGUCAGAUCUGAGCUUGGUGGUGCAUGUCUGUAAUCCCAGAACUGAGGAGGUUGAGGCAGGAGAAUGA